AUCUUUCUAGUAUUAAACAGUACAAAUGACUUCCAAUCAUUCAGUCUUGGUUUGACUCCAGGGAAAGAUA
rnacentral:tRNA from 1 species